GACCCCACGAAGCUGGAUUCGCUAGUAAUCGCGUAUCAGCCAUGGCGCGGUGAAUACGUUCCCGGGCCUUGUACACACCGCCCGUCAAGCCAUGAAAGCCGGGGGCGCCUGAAGUCCGUGACCGCGAGGGUCGGCCUAGGGUGAAACCGGUGAUUGGGGCUAAGUCGUAACAAGGUACC
rnacentral:rRNA from 1 species